rnacentral:lncRNA from 1 species
CUGGUCCCGCCCCCAGCCCCGCCCCGGCCACCCCGGCUCCGCGGCAGCGCCGCAGUCCCCGCGCGGUAGCAGCGCGCGUCCGGGACCCCUUCCUGCCGCCGCCUUCCCCUCGCUGCGCGGCCCCCUGCACGUACCUGCUUUGCAAACCGGGGCGCUUGGGCUCCUUCUCUCCGGGAGCUUCGGCUCUGCUCCGGGGACCUCCUCCGGUGCCGGACGCGAGCUGGGGGGGGCCCGCGCUCACCUCGCCUGUCCACAGGAGAGGCCCCAAGCCCUUAACCCAGGACCUUGCUUAAGCUGGCUAGCACUGACAUCACUACUCAUCGCCAUAACCUGGAAUGAAGACAAACACAGGACACACAGGAAACUGCCAACAAAUUCCAUGCAGAGAGCUAAGUCCACUCUUACAACAAUGGGUUGAAUUGUGACUGUAUGAAGUUGAAGAAGCAACAUACUGGAAUUGGUUUAUCUGUAUUUAAACUCCAGAAGGCAAAAUUAUUGAUAAGCUCAUUUUGUACCUGUGCUUUUUAAACUAUUUAAAAUGAUCUUGUUAUGGUAGAGGAGGGUGGGUUUUGAGAAAAAGUUUAUCAUCCUGUAGUUUUUUUUUCUUCCUAUAGUUUUAGUAGAAUCAACCAUAUUCUGUUAUAAAUCUCCAAAAUGUCAUUGAAUGGAACAUUAUACAGCCACUAAAAUUAUCAUUAUGAAGUCAUAAGUUCCUUUCAUUUUAAAAUGGAAAAAAAAAUAAAAAUGAUGCAUUCAUUGUAACUACAAAAAUAUAAAAACGUUUAUGCAUUAUAAAUGAAUAUUAGAGGUUAAAAUAGUGAUAUGAAAAUAAAAUAGCCUUUUUAAGGUGGAAGUUAGGGAGGUAUCUUUUACCCCAAGAAAUAUUGAUAUCCAGUUUUCUAAUAAAAGGGGAGAAUUACCAGAACUUAAAUUGUUGAGUGAUGUUCUCUGCUUAAAAUCUGACUGCUAAUUCACUGAGACAUUUGUCUUAGACCAUUUCCUCAAGGCCAUCCGUAGCACCACAUGUUCUGGUGUUUCUCUUACCUCUCUGACUACUCCUGGCUUCACUUUGCUGGCUUCUUCUCAGUCUGAUGCUUAAAUGGUGAGAGGUCCUCAGGACACCAUCCUAAACCUUUCAUUCCACUCACUCCCUAGACAGAGAGCUUCAUUUGUAUGCAGAAUCCCACUGACUACCACGCUGCCAUCUAUUCAACUGCCUGCUUUGCCUCUCAUCUUGUAUAUCUCACAGGUGCUUUGAAUCUUGUCCGUAACUGAAUUCAUCAUCUUCCCACCACUCACCCACCACCACCAACUGGCUCCUUUUCCAGUUUUCUCUUAUUUCAAUAAAAGGUGCCACUCAGUGGUCUGUAUUGAAACCCUGAAAGUCAUCUUAGCUCUCCCACUCCCCUAAGGCAAGACCAAUGACUCACCGUAUCUUAACUGCUCUAGCUUCUAAAUCUCUUAUGAAUCACCACUAUUCUCCAAAUUCACCAUCUCCUCUAAGCAUGCCUCUAUCCUCUCCGGCCUACGCUCUUACACAGGCCUAGCCAAUCUCCCUAGAUCCUCUCUGCCCUGGCCUACUUCUCCAAGCACUCUCCACUUCUCACCUGUAAUCCAUUCCCCACACAUCUGUAGUGGUCUUUUAAAAAUGAACUUGAUCACCUCACUCUGCUGCCUAAAGCUUUCCUUUCCUUAGGAUGAAGCUCCCAGCCCUGAGGCUUACCACAUAUUUCCACGGGCACAUCUCUUCCUCUCUAGCUCCAGUCACACUGGUCUUCUUUGAUCUCCCCAAAAUGCUCCAUACUCUCAUCCUGAGCCUUCACGGUUGUGAUUUCCUCUGCCUGGAACAUUCCUCAUUCCUGUCACUUGGCCAACUCCCGACUCAUUUUUAGAUCAGGGAGGCAUGAAUGGACUUGCUC